rnacentral:rRNA from 1 species
CCCAGACUCCUACGGGAGGCAGCAGUGGGGGAUAUUGCACAAUGGGGGAAACCCUGAUGCAGCGACGCCGCGUGGGCGAAGAAGUAUUUCGGUAUGUAAAGCCCUAUCAGCAGGGAAGAAGAAAUGACGGUACCUGAGUAAGAAGCACCGGCUAAAUACGUGCCAGCAGCCGCGGUAAUACGUAUGGUGCAAGCGUUAUCCGGAUUUACUGGGUGUAAAGGGAGCGCAGGCGGCUCGGCAAGCCUGAUGUGAAAGCCCGGGGCCCAAACGCGGGACUGCAUUGGGAACUUCCGGGCUGGAGUGCCGGAGAGGUAGGCGGAAUUCCUAGUGUAGCGGUGAAAUGCGUAGAUAUUAGGAGGAACACCAGUGGCGAAGGCGGCCUACUGGACGGUGACUGACGCUGAGGCUCGAAAGCGUGGGGAGCAAACAGGAUUAGAUACCCUUGUAC